AUGAACGCUAGCGGGAGGCCUAACACAUGCAAGCCGAGCGGUAGAGAUCUUUCGGGAUCUUGAGAGCGGCGUACGGGUGCGGAACACGUGUGCAACCUGCCUUUAUCAGGGGGAUAGCCUUUCGAAAGGAAGAUUAAUACCCCAUAAUAUAAGAAACGGCAUCGUUUUUUAUUGAAAACUCCGGUGGAUAGAGAUGGGCACGCGCAAGAUUAGAUAGUUGGUGAGGUAACGGCUCACCAAGUCUACGAUCUUUAGGGGGCCUGAGAGGGUGGUCCCCCACACUGGUACUGAGACACGGACCAGACUCCUACGGGAGGCAGCAGUGAGGAAUAUUGGACAAUGGGUGCGAGCCUGAUCCAGCCAUCCCGCGUGAAGGACGACGGCCCUAUGGGUUGUAAACUUCUUUUGUAUAGGGAUAAACCUACCCUCGUGAGGGUAGCUGAAGGUACUAUACGAAUAAGCACCGGCUAACUCCGUGCCAGCCGCCGCGGUAACAC
rnacentral:rRNA from 1 species